AUUUAAAUAGUUUAAAAAAAACAUAAUAUUGAAGAUAUUAAAAUAAUUUUCUAAUUUUUAAAUA
rnacentral:tRNA from 1 species